UACGUAGGCAGCAAGCGUUGUUCGGAGUUACUGGGCGUAAAGGGUGCGUAGGCGGCCCUGUAAGUAUGGUGUGAAAUCUCCCGGCUUAACUGGGAGGGUGCGCUAUAGACUGCGGGGCUCGAGUGUGGGAGAGGAAAGUGGAAUUCCUGGUGUAGCGGUGAAAUGCGUAGAUAUCGAGAGGAACACCAGUGGCGAAGGCGAGUCUCUGGACGACUCCUGACACUGAGGCACGAAAGCUAGGGGAGCAAACAGG
rnacentral:rRNA from 1 species